UUCGGAAAAGGGAUAUUUGUUAUCUCCAACAUUUGGUGCAUUUACUGUAACAGUUGGGAAAGAGAAGAAAUAAAAUUUGGAAACCAAAUAACACCUAGACAUAAAUGCUUUGUUUAGAACUACAGAAGGACUUUUUAAAAGGAUAAAUGAAAAGCCAGAUAAGGAAAUACAUAGGAUGAAGCCUGGACCAUAAGCACAAGAGCUUUUAUCCCUGAAGAAUUUGGAGAUGUCACCCUCCUGAGACUGUUGCUCUGGUAAAUUGCCAUAGGUCCCUGGCUUUUUGUGUAUUGGAGGGGCCUUCCUCAAGAGGACCUAAUACCUUUGGAAUUGGUGGACUCUUAGAUGGAGAACUGAGAUAACUAAAAAGAUUAGGGCUAAGACUACUGAAGCUGAGAGGAUCUAGAAUUAUCUCAGUUUACAACAUGGCUUUAUACUCUCAAUAGGAUUAAACGUUAUGGAUUUCUGCA